UACGUAGGAUGCAAGCGUUGUCCGGAUUUAUUGGGUUUAAAGGGUGCGUAGGUGGUUUAUUAAGUCGUGGGUGAAAGUCAGCAGCUUAACUGUUGGAUUGCCUGCGAUACUGAUAGACUUGAAUGCGGUUGAGGUAGCUGGAAUGGGUGGUGUAGCGGUGAAAUGCAUAGAUACCAUCCGGAACACCAAUUGCGUAGGCAAGCUACUAAGCCGUGAUUGACACUGAGGCACGAAAGCAUGGGGAGCAAACAGG
rnacentral:rRNA from 1 species